CUUCUGAUUACCAUGCCUGAAAGCUGGGUAUUCAUAUAUUACUUGAAACCAAGAGACAGAAAACUGCUGUGCAGCCAGCCACUUGAGAAAGCAUGAAGUACUCUGCCCUAAGGCACUGAUGUAAAUGUAAGGCAUAAUAAUUAUUUCUUAGAUAUGCCUGUGCUAUAAACUUUCAAUGCAGCCUCCAUGCCAUUUUUUGCAAUGGAACAUACUGAGAAGAACUGCCAUUUCUUUUCCAGGUAACUUUCCCAGGACCUGAGAACAAGCCACAUGUUUUCACUUCGGAGGUUCACAUUAUCCCAGAUACUUAUCCAUGUAAAGACUGCCAGGGAGAGGAGUGCUAUGGAACACUGGUGUGACAUCCACCAGUGAUGCUGUGGCUCCUGCUGGGGAAGACAUGAGAUGCACCUAGAAAAACGUGCAGACGAGCAAGUGGGCAGAGAAAAAACCUUGUACAGAGAAUACACAGGUUCAACUUCAGCUAAACUGAAAUAGGUGUGGGAUGGGGAAUGUAAUAUCAUGGGGCAGGUGAGAAUGUCGGUCACAAUCAGGAGACCUAAAGGACUAGCUAUGGUGGCAAUGGGAAAUGGGUAGGAGGGUGGAUGAAUGAGAAAUACAGGGCAUGGGAGGAAGGGCUUGGCUCUGCAGAAUUCUGAACAAGUAAUGCAGCAAAAGAAACUGUGCCUUUGUAAUCCCCAAAUCUCUGAAUCACAAGAAAGAAAAGCACUAUCUUCUGUUAAUCUUCACUGAAAUUCUGUACAAGUAUUGGAGCAUUUAGUGCAGAUUUAAUUCACAACUCCUUAGCAUGGAUUUAAGAUAGUUUAACUUCAUAGACUUCAAUGGGAACAAAUAGCCUCUAAUCUAAGUAAUUGAUUAUAACUGGAUUGUAAAUCAUUAUGUAAAGUGACUGAAUUUAAAUUCCAUGUGAGUCAGAGAACAAAUGAGUGGCUUCUUUGGCUAGCUGUUAUCUCUUCAUUUUAGAUUCCCUUCUGAUGAAUGGGGAUAAUAAUAAAGUUGACUAUAUUUUUUGUGGCAGAAGUGAAGCCACCUGCUGGGGAUUUCAUUGCCUGAUCAUUUCUUGCUGUUUUCUGUUUGUUUUCUGUUUGUUAACAAAUAAAGGUUUUUCUGGCAUUCCUACCAUA
rnacentral:lncRNA from 1 species